GGGAAAAUAGCUAAAAGAUUAUAGCGUCGAUUUCCAAAAUCGAAGAUUGGGGGUUUGAGUCCUUCUUUUCCUG
rnacentral:tRNA from 1 species